rnacentral:ncRNA from 2 species
CACAUCGGCACCCGGCGGUAUCCCGUACUCGACCGGGGUGAGAGUCUUCUCGCGCGGUCGUGGGGGAAGUCCGGUGAGAGUCCGGCGCUGUCCCGCAACGGUAUGCCUUCCAGGCGAGCCCGGUCACCCAUGUCGCGCUAUGUCACCGA